AACAAUUAACAAAUAAAGACAUAUUUUAUGUGUAACUUUUUAUAUUAAAAGAGUUCUCUUUAACUAUUAAUACCUCAUUUUUGAGAAGAAAUGUUAAAUGGGUCAAGCGGCGAAAACGGAAAUACGAGGUAUGCAUUUAUGGAUAGAAUACUAUGAUAUGAGUAGAAGAAAUUAAAUAUCUCAAUGCAAUUGCUUAGAUAUGAGGUUGAAAUAUCUAUUUGCUUAUGUAAACUAUAAAAGUUUAUGGUGUUGGCACUUGGCAUGUCAUAAAAUUAUUUGAAAUUUGAGUACCUUUAAUUUGUUUUUUCAGUACCUAAAAUAGUCUACAUGUUUUCCGAUAUCUCUUUUGUUGUGCUAAUUUUUUCUACAUAAAAGAGUUUCUCUUUAUAUAUUCCUCCUCUUAAUUGAAUUUUAUCAUCUCUUAGCUAGUCAUCUUCUAAUAAAUUUGUCUAAUUCACUAUUUUUUAUAUAAAUAUAAUGUUAAAUUAAAUUCAAGAAAAAUAACGUUUGGGUACAUCAAAUGAGAAGUUUGCUGAACUUUUUUUGAAUAUGGAGAUAUACAUGGAUUUGUUAAAGUCCUCUAGAUGCAAAGCAUGCUUGGAGACUUGUUAUUAAAUCCCAAGUAGUGUAUUUGUAAUUUGAUAAAUUUCUUAUAAUCAUUUAGUGCUUUUUUUUUGUUAGCUUUGAAGAACUUCUAGCUACCUAGUUCAUGUCUGUUCGUUGUUACGUAAGAAUUUAGGACUAUUUAAGCACAAUUACAGAUUUAAAGGUUUAAAUAUCACAUAUACAGUACUUUUAUACCAAAACAGAUAAAAGCAAUCCUUUUUAUUUUUGUAAAAUGAUGAAAGCAAUUCUCCCAAAUAAACCGACUCCGACGAUCCAUCCCUAUUAAUGUCUUGUUUGCACUCUUUGUUUCCAAAUUUCGGAAAAACGGUCUAUUUCCCCACGAGAAGUAUCGUAUCAUAUCAGAUAGAGCCCAUUCUUUGACCUCGGUCCAUAUCUCCAUGAAAUAAAAGUUCUAUUCCUAUUUCCCUCCGAAUCGAAAGUUCUAUUAGCUAAAUGUCCCCGAAUCUGGGUUAUAUCGGUUAGCGCUUCAAACCCAAAGUAAACCGAAUACCAAACCACUAAAAUUUGAUUCUAAACUGAAUUAAAAUAUGACCCACCCGUAAAUGGUCCGAUAUCAUCUUCUUCUUCACCCGAUUCUUCAAACAACCAAACGAUUUUGAUAAAUUUGAUAUCAAAAUUACAAAAGCUCAUUGGAGAAAUCCAUUGUAAUUAACCAAUAAUCAAAUUCGAUGGUAAUCAAAUUCGAUGGUAAUCAACUUACAACAUCCUCGCCGGAAUUCUUAAUCGACAACGACUGCAAUCCUCCACAUAGAGCCACGCCGUCGAACCUCCUCUAUUCUGUAGUAGAGCAAACACCUUGGAACUGUCCUAGCUUCAAUGUUCUUAGCUUCUUGCAUUUAAAAUUCUAUGUCUAUAAAGCUACGCCAUGGCCACUAUGCUUCACUUCACAUCCUUCCCUACGUCAAGAACCAGCUCUUCUAUAUUCGGUAAACCAGAGAAAACCUCAAUUAGCGUCCCCGCCAUGACCGCUGAAUCUCCACCUUCUUCACUCGUCUUCUUCUUCAACAACCUCCGGAUCUCCGACGGCGUCUUCGUCCCACACAAACGACGGCGGUCUCAACAAACGUAAGAUUAUCUCAAACAAGAUCAGAUCGUUAGAGAAACUUAUACCAUGGGAAAGAAAAAUGAGUUUAGCAAUGAUUCUAGAAGAAUCGAAUUUGAUUACAGGUCAGAUGGUGGUGAUGGAUAUGCUCUCGUUGUUUUAAUUCGAUUGAAUUUGGUCUUGAUUGUUUUAAAAGUAGAGAAUUUGCUUUAGAUUUUGAUUUGAAUCAUCAAGAUCUACCUUUGGGUUGAUUCAAUUUGUUAAUUACGGUCAUAUAUUUGUGUCUAUGAUUCGAUUUCAGAUCGAUUUCUAACCCAGAUAAAUCGAUUUAUAAAAUAACGGUGGUUUGAUCUCUUUCACCAACUGAAACGUUUGGUAA